UAGGGUGACCAACCAUCUGGUUUGCCUGAGACUGAUGGGAUGCAGGAUUUUCAGGGCUCAGACCAGGGAAGUCCCAGGCAAACCAGGAUGAGUUGGUCACCCCAGUAUCCA
rnacentral:pre_miRNA from 1 species